UUCGAAGGGGGCGAAGCCUGACGGAGCACGCCGCGUGAGUGAUGAAGGGCUUCGGAUCGUAAAACUCUGUUAUUAGGGAAGAACAAAUGUGUUAGUAACUGUGCACGUCUUGACGGUACCUAAUCAGAAAGCCACGGCUAACUACGUGCCAGCAGCCGCGGUAAUAA
rnacentral:rRNA from 1 species